ensembl:antisense 1700025N23Rik RIKEN cDNA 1700025N23 gene
GGGGGGGGGGUUGUUGGUGACCUGUGAUGGGGCCCCUCAAGAGCCUUCCUGUAACCUCGAGUGACCCCAGGAUAGGAAAAGUAAGCACACAAGGCAACAUGUCAAACAUCUACGUUUCAGAAAGAUAUUAUGAAGUCACUCUGGAUUCUGCAGCCUCCAGACUUAGAACCCUAGGUGGCUGUGAACUUGUGAUCUUCCUGCCUCAGUUUUCCAAGUGCUGGGAUUACAGAAAUGAAAAUGGCUGGCUCUGAUUGUUAUGCUCCAGCAGCAUCACGUGAUAUUGAUACCCCUCCUCCCCCCAUGGCUACUCCUGUGUUGUACAAACAGAGUCUAGUGAUGUCUCCUUUCUCUCUAGAAGCAGGGAAUUAGAAAUCUUUUAAGCGUAGGGGGAAAUACAGACAUAGGAAGAAAAGUUCCCAGGCACCGGGACUCUCCAGGGAGCACAGACCAUUGCAUGAAACGGAUCUGUGGGAAAUGUGAUGACCUCAGCCCUGUCCCUUGACCACAAACUGAGGAGCAAACCCCACCUUGAGGCACAUGGUCUGGCUUCUCCCUGUUUGUACUGGCUGGUUUGUGUGUCCACUUGAUACAAGUUAGAGUCACCAGAGAGGAAGAAGCCUCAGUUGAGGAAAUGCCUCCAUGAGAUCCAGCUGUAAGGCAUUUUCUCAAUUAGUGAUCAAGGAGGGAGGGCUCAGCUCAAGGUAGGUGGUGCUGUCCCUGAGCUGGUGGUCCUGGGUUCUAUAAGAAGGCUGGCUAAGCAAGCCAGGGGAAGCAAGCAAGGAAGCAACACCCCUCCAUGGUCUCUGUUUCAGCUCCUGCCUCUAGGUUCCUGCCCUGUUUGAGUUCCUGUCCUGACUUCCUUUGGCGAUGAACAGCAAUGUGGAAGUGUAAUCUGAAUAAACCCUUUCCUCCCCA